rnacentral:rRNA from 1 species
UACGAAGGGGGCUAGCGUUGUUCGGAAUUACUGGGCGUAAAGGGCUCGUAGGCGGUUCGGUAAGUCGGGUGUGAAAACUCUGGGCUCAACCCAGAGCCGCCACCCGAUACUGCUGUGACUCGAGUGCGGUAGGGGAGCGGGGAAUUCCUGGUGUAGCGGUGAAAUGCGCAGAUAUCAGGAGGAACACCAGUGGCGAAGGCGCCGCUCUGGGCCGUGACUGACGCUGAAGAGCGAAAGCGUGGGUAGCAAACAGG